rnacentral:rRNA from 1 species
AGAGUUUGAUCAUGGCUCAGAAUCAACGCUGGCGGCGUGCCUCAGACAUGCAAGUCGAACGAUUAAAGCUCUCUUCGGAGAGUGUAUAGAGUGGCGCACGGGUGAGUAACACGUAAGUAAUCUACCUUCGAGUGGGGAAUAACAGUCGGAAACGACUGCUAAUACCGCAUAAUGCAGCGGCAUCGCAAGAUGACAGUUGUUAAAGAUUUAUCGCUUGAAGAGGAGCUUGCGACAGAUUAGCUAGUUGGUAAGGUAACGGCUUACCAAGGCUACGAUCUGUAACCGGCCUAAGAGGACGGUCGGUCACACUGACACUGAAUAACGGGUCAGACUCCUACGGGAGGCAGCAGUCGGGAAUUUUGGGCAAUAGGGGAAACCCUGACCCAGCAACGCCGCGUGAAGGAUGAAGUAUUUCGGUAUGUAAACUUCGAAAGAAUAGGAAGAAUAAAUGACGGUACUAUUUAUAAGGUCCGGCUAACUACGUGCCAGCAGCCGCGGUAAUACGUAGGGACCAAGCGUUGUUCGGAUUUACUGGGCGUAAAGGGCGCGUAGGCGGCACUGUAAGUCACUUGUGAAAUCUCUGAGCUUAACUCAGAACGGCCAAGUGAUACUGCAGCGCUAGAGUGUGGAAGGGGCAAUCGGAAUUCUUGGUGUAGCGGUGAAAUGCGUAGAUAUCAAGAGGAACACCUGAGGUGAAGACGGGUUGCUGGGCCAACACUGACGCUGAGGCGCGAAAGCCAGGGGAGCAAACGGGAUUAGAUACCCUGGUAGUCC